rnacentral:rRNA from 1 species
GAACCGUACAAACGUUAUUCGGAAUCACUGGGCUUAAAGGGUGCGUAGGCGGUCCGGAAAGUUGGGUGUGAAAGCCCUCGGCUCAACCGAGGAAUUGCGCUCAAAACUGCCGGACUCGAGGGAGACAGGGGUGAGCGGAACUUGCGGUGGAGCGGUGAAAUGCGUUGAUAUCGCAAGGAACACCAGUAGCGAAGGCGGCUCACUGGGUCUCUUCUGACGCUGAGGCACGAAAGCUAGGGGAGCGAACGGGGAUUAGAUACCCCGGUAGUCCUAGCUGUAAACGUUGAGCACUGGGUUGGAGGCUCCCUCCCAUAAGCUUCCAGCCGUAGCGAAAGUGUUAAGUGCUCCGCCUGGGGAGUAUGGUCGCAAGGCUG